rnacentral:rRNA from 1 species
ACGGGGGGAGCAAGCGUUGUUCGGAUUUACUGGGCGUAAAGGGCGCGUAGGCGGCCUCUGCAAGUCGACUGUGAAAUCUCCGGGCUUAACCCGGAAAGGUCAGCCGAUACUGCAGGGCUAGAGUGCAGAAGGGGCAACCGGAAUUCUUGGUGUAGCGGUGAAAUGCGUAGAUAUCAAGAGGAACACCUGAGGUGAAGACGGGUUGCUGGGCUGACACUGACGCUGAGGCGCGAAAGCCAGGGGAGCAAACGGGA